GCGCGUGCGCGGGGCGGAGCGUGUGACCGUGCGUACUACACGGGAUUCUGUUGGUGUCGCCGCUUCUCAGUAUGUAGCUGCCCGGCUGGCGACAGGGCGGUUACUCGUGUGGUCAUGGAUUUUGAAAAUCUUUUUUCAAAACCUCCCAACCCGGCCCUCGGCAAAAGAUCGGCCCCGGACUCUGACGAAAGAAUCGAUGAUGAAAUAGAUGAUACAGAAGUUGAAGAGGCUCAAGAAGAAAAAAUAAAAUGGGAAGUUAAACUGGAGUGUGAACAGAUUUCCAAAAAAGUUAGGCACUUUGGAAAGUCUACAGCAUCACCGAAGAGUUUGCCAUAUAGAAAAUCAAGAAGUAAAGACUAUGAAUCAUAUAGUGAUAAUGAUACCUGCGGUCAGGAACCACAAGAUAAUUUUGAGAAAGAGCUGCAGAAGUACAUACGAGCUAAAGAAAUGGCAAAUGCUGCUCAGCCCCUACCGUCCUCUAAAGAAUCUGUGAAGAAAGAGGAAGUAAGAGAUACUAAGCUGUCUGCUAAAUCGAAAAAUACAAAUCUUAAACCUGGUCGUAAGAAUGCUAAACAGAAGAAAGUGAAACGAAAACGGGCUGGCACUGGAGACAGAGGGCCAGAUUCCUUGUUGAAGAAGAGCAGUCCCCAGGACGAGGAUGGUGAACCUAAGGAGAAGCAGCAGCCCGUGCGGAUGAGCCAGGGCUUCAUUAACCAGCACACAGUGGAACGCAAGGGCAAGAAAGUUUGCAAAUAUUUUCUUGAAAGGAAAUGUAUCAAGGGAGACCAGUGUAAGUUUGAUCAUGAUACAGAGAUGGAGAAGAAAAAGGAAAUGUGUAAGUUUUAUGUCCAGGGCUAUUGUACCCGAGGUGAAAACUGCCUGUAUUUGCAUAAUGAAUACCCCUGCAAGUUUUAUCACACAGGAACAAAAUGUUACCAGGGAGAGCACUGCAGGUUUUCCCAUGCUCCCCUGACGGCCGAAACACAGGAGCUGUUGGCUAAAGUUUUGGAUACCGAAAAGAAGACAUGUAAAUAAAGUAGACUAAAAAAGAGCCAGGAAGCAAUGCCUGAUGUAAAGACCAGAGCUCCCCCAAAGUGAACCACAGCCACUGUCACCAACAAGGUUCCAAGCUCCUCUGAUGACAACAGUCGAGCUCACACUGGGAAAGCCAGCAUGACAAGCUCCUCCAGGAGAACCAGCAGCUCAAACCAGCAACUUAAUCCUUCUCUAUGAUGCUGUCUUGAAUACCAAAAAAUGACUACGAGGAAAAAAAACCAAGGCAAAACUGAAAAUAGAUGGUGAAAGAUCACCCCAGGAGACCUGAAGAGAGUCACCGGAGUGACUGAGCACAGUGGGACAGCGCUGUGCACUCCGUGUGGUGAAAGUGCUGGGUGCUGUAUGUCAAGUGUUAGAUGGCACUUUGACACCAACCACAAAAGCGUUGCUAAACUUGGUGAAACUGAAAGAUAAAGCCAAAUUUGAAGAACUUGACUGCUCAUGGGGGUUAUUUUGGAAAUAUGAAAAUAGAGUUAUUGGAAUUUUAAGAAAACCCUGUCUGGAAAAAUAAAUUCGAUGACAUAUGAGCAACACUUGAGAAGACAGAGUGUGAAAGGAUGAUAAAGGACAGCACAGUUGGCAGUUCUGAAAAUGAAAUCCUGAGAAAAAAGUCAGCGCCUCCUGAGAAUGGGCCAUGCUGGGCCUGGGAGGAGCCCACCAAAAAGCCAACCAGCCAGGCUUUCUGCUAAGCUGUGCAAGCCACACAGGGUCCAGGAAGAGAAAAGUCAGCUCCUCCUGUCAGCCCUCAGGCACAUGGGCUGAGAAUCAACGCUCUCCUGCCCCAUAAGUAACUGGCUGGUUUGGAGGACAGGCUGAGUUGGUAGUAACUGAGGUACAAAAAGCACCUGAAUGCUUGUAUUGUUGGGCUGAUUUUGCCAGCCUGGAGCCGGAGGUCUGAGCAUCUGAGCAAGAUAGCAAAUAUGGGGGAUUUUCUUAUAUCUUGUCUUGGAAAUCCAAUAUUGUUCUCACUGUUUUGUUCUGUUCUGAUUAAUUGUUUUGCUUUAUUCAGUGUUCUGGUUUUAUUCUGUUUUGAUUUUGCUAUAUCUGAUGGAAUGGACAACUAUUGUAAAGGUAACGAGAUAUACUAUAGUAUGCAUUGUUGUUUUCCUAGUAUCUUGCUUUGAAGUUUUGUACUAAUUUCACUGCUUUGUUUUUGUUUUUUUGGUUAGUUUUGAUUGGGCUUAUUCUGUUUUGUUUUGUCGGAUUUUAUUAUCUUUAAAAUGAAAAUGAAUUCCUUGAAGUGUGGAAUUUUCUGCCAAAGAAUUUUAAAAAUCAGACAUGCAUGGUGGUGCACGCCUGUAAUCCCAGCACUCAGGAAGCUGAGGCAGGAGGAUUGUUGCAAGUUCGAGACCAGCUUGGGCUGCAAAGUGAACUCAAUGCCAGCCUGAACUGUAUAGUGAGACCCUCUCUCAAAAAGACAAAAAAAAAAAAAAAAAAAAAAAAUUCAGUCAAUGAAAGCACUGGGGAUUGCUUGUGUUACUUUGGAUCAUCUUAUGCUUGUGGGCAGCUGUUUUCAACUUUGAAUUAUAUUAAAUCUGAUACAUGAAACAGACUAACAGAUGACUUAAGUACUGCAUGUGUUGCCCUGAAACUGAUGCAGUAUGAGCCAACAUUUGACAAAUUAUCAGUAUGCAUACAACAGCAAAGAUAACAUUAAUUGUGCAAAAGCAUACCAAAUGCAAACUUUCACUUUUCAAUAAAAGGUUGUUUGUAUCAUCAAAA